ensembl:lincRNA
GGGGGGGGGUGCAGACACAAAGUAUUUUGUGUGUGGUCUGUGGCUUCAAAAUGACUUUUCUGUGAAGCUCCUCAUUUUUUUUUUUCUCACUCCUCCCACCUCCUCUCCCUUUCCCCCAGACCCUUAUAUAAAAAGAUUUUGCACCUAAAGCCCCGUUUCUGAGCUGAGCAGAGACCAUCACAUCGUAUAGUCCAGAGCUUAUCUCAUUAGCUCGAGUACCGUGUUCGGCUCAGGUGUCCUCACGAAUCUUCAGACACCUGCCAUCGUGCUUUGACUCAAACCUACUUUUGGUCCUCGUCCAGCCAUGUUUGCCACUGCUGUUAGUCUUCUGUGUCUUCUUGCCAUCCUGCCUCCCUCGAGUGCCCCCAAUGUACCAGAUUCUUCUUCAGCACUGGGACAAUCGUAUGAGAAGUCGAUGAAGAAUCUAGGACUAGCCACCAAAUCAGAUGAUAAGUCGGUUUUACGAGCUUCUUAUGAUGGAGGGACUUAUGUCUUGGGAGCUGAGGGGCCUGGGACUAAUACUGGGAGAGACGAUCGUCCUCAAAACUGGCAAUACCCCAGCAAUAGGGCUGAAACUGGGGCAGAAGGGUUUUCUGGGCCAUACGAGACCAAACCUUCUCGUGGAUCAGCCAAUUACGGCCAUAAACUUAGUAAGCGUAAGGGCAGAUUACCCAAUGGUGAAGCCUACAUGAGACCCGAGUUUGGGAAUAUGAAAACCCCGACAUCACCAUACUCAACUGAUAUUAGGCAUGCACCUCAGUGGGGUUAUCCAGUUGGCAGUUAUGGACAUAAGGAUGGCCGCAAGUCUUCACGAGGCCCAGCGUUAGGUGAUCAAUCAGGCUAUCGGAAUGGUUGGCCUAAAAUCACAUCAGGGCCACACCAACCAUUACAUGCAGAGGCUCAGGCUGGGACCUAUGGGCUAAAAGCAGGACUCAAACCUGGACCUCGGCCAGCAUACCAGGCUGUAGCCUACUCUCAGCAGGCUGCACUUGGGGCAAGCUUGGGAAUGAAUGGGCAGUUGGCAUACCCAAGAGGUUGGCCGAGCAUCAAGUCACAGCCAAGGCCGGUUUAUCAAGCUGAGGCACAAGCAGGGGAUUAUGGACGCAAAGCAGGCAUUAGACACAGCGCUCCAAGGGGUUUCUCAGCUUUUGCUGGUGCAGGCACACCUCGAGCUCAAAAAUCUGGGUCACAUCUGGCUUAUCCCGCUGCACCUUUGCCUCAAAAGGCUAGGCCAGGAUUAGCCUAUCCGAACUGGCCAGCUGGGGGUGUCAGAUCUAAUGUAAGCCCAGGUCGACAAACCAUGGGUCACCAUGGCAAUGGUGCUUGGGGCUGGCGAGGGCCCAGCACAAUGCAUGCACCAAAGCCAAAGCGCUAUUGGUCAGUUAGAUUGCCAAAAGUGGAGGGUGGAACAAGCUACGGUGGUACUGCAGAUCGAGGAACUGGUGCAGGACAGGGAAGGCGAGGAGAAAAUGGCUCAAAAUAUGAGCACCGAGCACCGCCCUACAUGUACAACUUGGGACAAGAUGACCUUCGAGUUCAUCCCAGCUCUGCUCCACUUAUUUCUGAGCCCCAACAUGGACGUGCUCACCCUUUUCCCCCAUUAGCUGGCCUCCAGCCAAUGGAAGUCCACGGAGCAGCACAGCUUCCCAGCCAGACCCAAAGGAGACCCACAAAACAUGAAUGGGGCCAAGUGGUUGGGAUCGCAGGCGAGAGUGAACCAGAAGAACAGACAUCUGAAUUAUCGCUCCGCUGUCCUCCAGGAACACAUGCUACACAGCUGCUAGGCAUGGUGCUUUGUCAAAGGCCCUACGUAUGAGAAUGUCCUGGAUACCUGGGAGGGUCUUCACAAGUGCCACCCGGGCAUCUCAGAUUGGAAUUCUUUGCCACACAGUGGAGUUUUUGAAGCAAAAUUCAAUAAUUUCUGUACAUUUUAAAAGAAUCGGUGUUUUGUAGUUUUUCUCAAUUUCAGAUAUUUUAUAUAACUGUUAUUGUUGCAAUUUUUUUGUCAUUGUUUUACCUCUUCCUCUUGACUUUGUAACUUCUACAUCUCUGAGUAAAAUACUUCAAAAGGAUUUCAGUGAUAUCGGCCAUGGUUAAAAUAUAACAUCACGAGGUCCAUUGGGAAAUUGAACUUCGACUGGAAGGAUUAACAAGAAAUGGGAAAUAAAAUGAUUUUGCAAGAUUUACUCUUGGUGUGCAGACACACACCUCUCAAUCAGCAGAUGCUUAUGCUAGUGACAUGUAUAAGUCUCUGUAAUGUGCUCACGAUGUACCUGGUACAUGUCUCUAAUGUGCUUUCUACCUGAUACAUGUCUUUGUAAUCUGCUCACCGUGUACCUGGUAUGAGUUUCUGUAAUAUCGUCCUUUCCACAGUACUGAAACAAACACGUUACUCGAGAUAUAACUGUGAUGUUUAAUUAGAAUUCCUGGAGAUGGUUAGCUUAGCUUACCCAGCAAAGAGUCACUCUAUCCUUCAGGGCUAGUCAAUAACAGCUCCUGAUGCACACACCAUGUUCAGCUCUACAUUGUGAAUCUUAAUAUAAUUAAAUUAUCUCGGCGAUGAAGACGAUAUACUCUUGUGGAGUUCAGUCUUGUGGAGUAGCCAAACCCGACUUUAUAAUAACUCUGUCUUUGAGGAUAAUCGGCAUGCUGAACCAAAAAUGUAACUGAAAACAAACAGUCUUAUGCUAUACGAACAAUGUAACUCUCCCGUCAGUGUUACAUGAGACAGAACAAUUAUAUAAACCAAGGCAAUUGGCCAAUUAAUAGCAGACAAUCUUACUGUAAUGGAGCAAUCGUGGACGUCACCGAAACUCCAAAAUGGACAUGUGGCUGAAAUAGCGCCAGCCUUGGUGUUAGUCGGUAUUACAAAUGAUCUUCCUUUAUCUUAUGAAGAGCAGAGGUAUGGACACCUUCUGCUGAAGGACUUUAGAGUUUAGAAAAAGAGAGGCAGGUACGAUGCACAAUUCCAAUUAAUUCAUCACAUAAUUUCGCAGGCAACAUUAAUAUGGAAUAGGCAAAGCCGAGAAGCAAACGUAGAAUUCUUCUUUCAUUCGCUUCUGACUUUACAUUAAACUAGUUCACAACUGUAUACUUGCCAACUAUACCAUGGUAAGUGUAGCGCCGCACAGCUGAUGAUUUUGACGCAAUUUCCGGUUACUUCGGCCUGGAUUCGGGAUCAGCGAUCAAAUAAUGUAAAUCACGAUUAAAAAAUAUUUUUUGAUGAUGCGGGAGAUAUCUUUAUUAAAAUUAACUUUGGGAAAAAAAUAAUUGAAUAAA